rnacentral:piRNA from 1 species
UAUCAGUCUUCCUGGAAGUGCCAUUUCUGC